AAUGAACGCUGGCGGCAGGCCUAACACAUGCAAGUCGAACGGAUCCUUCGGGAUUAGUGGCGGACGGGUGAGUAACGCGUGGGAACGUGCCCUUUGGUUCGGAAUAGCCUCGGGAAACUGGGAGUAAUACCGGAUAAGCCCUUCGGGGGAAAGAUUUAUCGCCAAAGGAUCGGCCCGCGUUGGAUUAGGUAGUUGGUGGGGUAAUGGCCUACCAACCCGACGAUCCAUAGCUGGUUUGAGAGGAUGAUCAGCCACACUGGGACUGAGACACGGCCCAGACUCCUACGGGAGGCAGCAGUGGGGAAUCUUAGACAAUGGGGGAAACCCUGAUCUAGCCAUGCCGCGUGAUCGAUGAAGGCCUUAGGGUUGUAAAGAUCUUUCAGUUGGGAAGAUAAUGACGGUACCGGAGAAGAAGCCCCGGCUAACUUCGUGCCAGCCGCCGCAGUAACAC
rnacentral:rRNA from 1 species